UACGUAGGGUGCAAGCGUUAAUCGGAAUUACUGGGCGUAAAGCGUGCGCAGGCGGCUAUGCAAGACAGAUGUGAAAUCCCCGGGCUCAACCUGGGAACUGCAUUUGUGACUGGCAUGGCUAGAGUACGGUAGAGGGGGAUGGAAUUCCGCGUGUAGCAGGUGAAAUGCGUAGAUAUGCGGAGGAACACCGAUGGCGAAGGCAAUCCCCUGGACCUGUACUGACGCUCAUGCACGAAAGCGUGGGGAGCAAACAGG
rnacentral:rRNA from 1 species